rnacentral:misc_RNA from 1 species
UAGAGUUGUAAAACUCCCAAAACCCAUGUGAACAUACCUGUUGCCUCGGUGGCCUACCCGGUAGCUACCCUGUAGUUACCCUGUAGUCCGCCGAAGGACCAUAAACUCUUGUUUUUUAAUAUCUCUGAGUCAACUAUAAAUAAGUUA